UACGUAGGUGGCGAGCGUUGUCCGGAUUUACUGGGCGUAAAGAGCUCGUAGGCGGCUUGUCACGUCGGAUGUGAAAGCCCGGGGCUUAACCCCGGGUCUGCAUUCGAUACGGGCAGGCUAGAGUUCGGUAGGGGAGAUCGGAAUUCCUGGUGUAGCGGUGAAAUGCGCAGAUAUCAGGAGGAACACCGGUGGCGAAGGCGGAUCUCUGGGCCGAUACUGACGCUGAGGAGCGAAAGCGUGGGGAGCAAACAGG
rnacentral:rRNA from 1 species